CCCGGGCCUUGUACACACCGCCCGUCGACUACCAUGGGAGCUGACUCAACCAGAAGACGGUAAGACGAACCGUAAGGACGUCUCCGGCGAAGGUGGGGUUGGUGACUGGGGUG
rnacentral:rRNA from 1 species